UACGUAGGGUGCGAGCGUUAAUCGGAAUUACUGGGCGUAAAGGGCAUGUAGGUGGGUUAAAAAGUUUGAUGUGAAAUCCCUGGGCUUAACCUGGGAAUGGCGUUGAAGACUGUUAAUCUAGAGUGAGAGAGAGGGUCGUGGAAUUUCCGGUGUAGCGGUGAAAAUGCGUAGAGAUCGGAAAGAACACCAGUGGCGAAGGCGGCGACCUGGAUCUUAACUGACACUGAGGUGCGAAAAGCGUGGGGAGCAAACAGG
rnacentral:rRNA from 1 species